AGAACGAACGCUGGCGGCAGGCUUAACACAUGCAAGUCGAACGCCCCGCAAGGGGAGUGGCAGACGGGUGAGUAACGCGUGGGAAUCUACCUGGUUCUACGGAAUAACUGAGGGAAACUUCAGCUAAUACCGUAUACGCCCCAAGGGGGAAAGAUUUAUCGGUGCCAGAUGAGCCCGCGUUGGAUUAGCUAGUUGGUAGGGUAAUGGCCUACCAAGGCGACGAUCCAUAGCUGGUCUGAGAGGAUGAUCAGCCACACUGGGACUGAGACACGGCCCAGACUCCUACGGGAGGCAGCAGUGGGGAAUUUUCCGCAAUGGGCGAAAGCCUGACGGAGCAAUGCCGCGUGGAGGUGAAGGCCCACGGGUCGUAAACUCCUUUUCUCGGAGAAGAAGCAAUGACGGUAUCUGAGGAAUAAGCAUCGGCUAACUCUGUGCCAGCAGCCGC
rnacentral:rRNA from 1 species